AUGGGCCGGAAGUCGAGUGGGCCGCAGUCCAGUCGAGAAGGUUGGAGGUCCAGGCGAGAAGAUGAGGUGUUUCUUAAACUUCAACUCUAUGCACAACAUUCAAUUGUCAACCGUCCAUGUGCUAAGUUGGCCUACAAGUAUUAUGGACCCUUUUCAGUGUUAGAGCGCAUCGGACCAGCAGCUUACAAACUGCAGUUACCUUCAGAGGCUCUCAUUCAUCCUGUGGUCCAUGUGUCUCAACUGAAAGAGCAUAAACCAGAUCAUACACCGGUCUUCUCGCAGUUACCGUCGAUGGUGGAUUUAUUUGUGGCUCAAGUGGUGCCAGAGGUUUUUGUGGAUCGCAAGAUGGUUAAGAAAAACAACAAGGUUCAAGUGCAGGUGUUGGUAAAGUGGUCUGGAUUAUCGGAAGAAGCGGCGACUUGGGAGGACUAUGAUGUGCUUAAGAGUAGGUUCCCAGAUGCACCAGCAUGGGGACAAGCUGAUGCUCAAGAGGGCGGCAUUGUCAGCAGUGCUACGCAGAUGCUGACAGCAUCAACAAGCAAGACAGAUGCAGAGACGUCAAGGGCGCGUAAUUCAGAAGCAAGUGCAAGCUCAUGGGCCGGAAGUCGAGUGGGCCACAGUCCAGUCGAGAAGGCUGGAGGUCCAGGCGAGAAGAGUGAAUGGGUAUAUCAGUAG
rnacentral:rRNA from 1 species